GAACUAAAGUAGUUGGUAUUGCAUCUAUGUUGCUGAUUCUGCUAAUGUCCUCCAACCUUGCAAAGGUUGAGGUCGCGAGUUCGAGCCUCGUGUCCCGCUCCA
rnacentral:tRNA from 1 species